GCUUUCCUCUAACUAACCAGCUGCAGAGCAAAAACAUGAGAAGCAGCAGAAAGCAGGAAGUUCCAGUGUGUUUGAGAGUGAAACAGAGACUCACAGUAACACAGAUCUACAGCUCAGAGCACAGACAACAUUAACACACACCUGAUCUGACCUAGUCAACAUGGAGAAACACCUGCUGCUGAUUUUAAUUCUGAUUUCAGGUGUGAUGACUGCAGACCAGAUUAGGCCAAAUAAAGAAGCUAAUGUCAUGAAGGAAGGCGAGACUGUGAGCCUCAGCUGUACAUAUGAUACAAGCAGCAGAAAUGUUAGACUUUACUGGUACAGACAGUAUCCUAAUGGAGAACCUAAGUAUGUAGUGUGGAAAAAUGCUCGGGCAUAUAGUGAUACUGGGACCCCAGCUGAACCUCGCUUUCAGGCGACUACAUCAGAAACAUCCACUGAACUCAUUAUUACUCGUGUAACUCUGUCAGAUUCAGCUCUCUAUUAUUGUGCUCUAAGAGUUGGAUCACAGUGACACAAAGUCUUUGUGAAGCUGUACAAAAACUCACAUUUAUUUUUCACUUUG